rnacentral:ncRNA from 1 species
AAUAGAUAAAAUUUAGUCUGAAAUUUAUUAAAACUAAUUAAGAAAAGUUUAAUUUUAUUCAAAUUUUAAGAUUGUUUAUUUGUAGAAACAGUUUUCCAGACCCCUUCAAAUAGCGUGCCAGAAGUUUCGGUUAUACGAUUGGUUUAAAUAUGUUAUAGGUAAUCUUAAUAAUUUUUUAAUAAAAAGGAUAAUGGUAAAAAGUAGAAUUUAAACAGAAGAGCCCUUAUGAGAUUUUAAGAUUUAAAUUUUGGAAUAAAAUAGGAUUAGAUACCCUAGUAUAAAAUUUAUUGAUAGGUAGUAAAAGAAACUCUAAAAACCUAAAAAUGAAGACGGCUUUUAAUCUAUUUGGGGGAACUUGUCCUGUAAUCGAUAACCCACGUUUAAAUAGACCUCAAUUAUUAGUUCUCAUGUCGCCAUCUAGUUCAUUCAAAUACUUAAAUGGUUAUUAAAUAUCUUAGGUAAAAACGGGAUUCAUAUUUAGAGGGAAAGAUUAGUUACAUAUAGGAUAACCUUUUAUAGAAUCUAUAAAAUGAGGACCCAAAAGUAAAUUUGGAUUAGAAAACCAAGUUGGAAAAGCAAUUAAAAGUGUACUAAUCGCCCGUCACUCUAAUAAUUAGAUAAGUCGUAACAAAGUAGAUGUUCUGGAAAGAGUAUCUUGGAAUAAAAUAAAAUAAGAUAUU